AAACGAGAACUCCGGCCAACUGCCCAAGCCUUCCUCCAUUGCUGCACCUCCGUUGCCCACAGCCUCCGUUCCCAUCUCUCCCUCUUCUUUCCCUCCCCCAACAAGCGUUCGUCCUAGAGACCUCCGUCUCAGGAUACCAAGCUCAUCAUUCCCCCUGUUUCCCUCCAUGAAUCCCUCCAUAAUCCUGUGGCAGCACCAUUGACGAAGGAGGAGCUUGGGAGAGACCUGGACACUUCUCCACACGAUUGCAGCUCAGUUCCCAGACAACCCAACGAGGCAGCAAAAGCAUGUUGUCAAAGGUGCUGCAGUGUAGUUUUCUGCUGAGGCAUAUGUUUUGGAAAUAGUAACUUUAUUUCAAUAAUAAAAGAGCAAAACCUGUGCAAGCCAGAUCACAGGCAGAGUUAUUAAAGUGGCUGUGUUGUGUGCACAAUGGUGUCAACAAAAGCCUUGGGAAGCUGGUUUUUCCAUGCCAGAGAGUGAAUGCUAGAUAGGGCAAGCUUGAUUGCAAAGAUCGCGCCUGUGAUUUGCAAGGCACUUCAAGCUUUAGCAGAUAUCACUCAUAUCGGUUCAAGUAAGUUCAUACAUUUAUAACAACACACCAGUCCUUUUGGUUGAAGUGUGAAGAAUUUAAGAAAUACAUGCAGUUAAUUGUCUGUUCAAUUUUUUCUUCUGGUUUUUGACAAGAAAAACCAUGGAUUGGUUCUAGAAUUUUUUUUUGGGACAAAGUCGACAAGCGAUAAAGUCAAAGAUAAACGGUUACGGAAGUGCACCAAUUACGGUGGUUUGAUUGAUAUCUUAAAGAUAACCCCUUUUAUACAACUUUGGAGGAGAAAAUAAGAGGUAUUUUUUACACGGAACUCCCACAAGAGAUCCAGAAAAUGAAUUGUAAUAUGAGAGACUCGAACUCGAGACUCUCAAUCACAAGCACGAGUUUUUGACAAGAAAAACCAUGGAUUGGUUCUAGAAUUUUUUUUGGGACAAAGUCGACAAGCGACAAAGUCAAAGAUAAACGGUUACGGAAGUGCACCAAUUACGGUGGCUUGAUUGAUAUCUUAAGGAUAACCCCUUUUAUACAACUUUGGAGGAGAAAAUAAGAGGUAUUUCUUACACGGAACUCCCACAAGAGAUCCAGAAAAUGAAUUGUAAUAUGAGAGGCUCGAACUCGAGACUCUCAAUCACAAGCAUGGGUAGUUAUCGCUGGGUUAGCCCACAGUUCUUGAUUUUUAGGAUUUUGUUUUAAGAAUCUUGAUCUGGGUAUUUUUUUAAUUGAGCAAUGCUAUUCAGACUGAAUAGUUGGGCAGAAAUUCAGUCUGAAUGCUAACCCCAGAGGUAGGGUUAGCAAUCCUAGCUCUGGGGUUAGCAACCACAGCUCUGGGAUUAGAUUUGGUCUUAAUUUUUGCCCAAUUAUUCAAUCUAAAUAGUUUUUUUUUUUUUCUUUUUAUUCAAGAUAUACACAUGAAUAGACUUCAUUUAUUUAUUUA